AUCCAGCUGACGAAUCCAAAAAAUAGGACGAAAUGCGCAUCCUGAAU
rnacentral:hammerhead_ribozyme from 1 species